AAACAGGGAAUGUCCGUGAAAACUUUGGAAUUGGAAUGACGGAGGUAUGGGAAUUUUAAGUUACGGGGGAAAUGCAAAGAUUUUUGAAGAACCCCGUUAGGGUAGGAAGAUUACAGGGCCAUAUUUGACAUUGAAGCACGAAAAGGUGGGUAUCAAACAGGAUUAGAUACCCUGGUAUUCCACACGUAAAACGAUGGAUACUGACGUUUGGGAUACACUGUAAGCGGUUUAGCGAAAGCCUUAAUAUUCCCCCUGGGGAGUACGCCGGCAACGGUGAAACUCAAAGGAAUUGACGGGGGCCCGCACAAGCGGAGGAACAUGUGUUUAAUUUGAUGAUACGCGAGGAACCUUACCCGGGCUCGAACGGCUUUUGAAUAAUUAUGAAAAUAGUUAGUCGCAAGACAGAAGUCGAGGUGCUGCAUGGUUGUCGUCAGCUCGUGCCGUGAGGUGUCGGCUUAAGUGCCAUAACGAGCGCAACCCUUACCGAUAGUUACCAGCAUGUAGAGGUGGGGACUCUAUCGGGACUGCCACCGUAAGGUGCGAGGAAGGUGGGGAUGACGUCAAAUCAGCACGGCCCUUACGUCCGGGGCGACACACGUGUUACAAUGGGGGGGACAAAAGGGAGCUACCCGGCAACGGGAUGCGAAUCUUCAAACCCUCUCCCAGUUCGGAUUGGAGUCUGCAACCCGACUUCAUGAAGCUGGAUUCGCUAGUAAUCGCGCAUCAGCCAUGGCGCGGUGAAUACGUUCCCGGGCCUUGUACACACCGCCCGUCAAGCCAUGGGAGCCGGGGGUGCCUGAAGUACGUAACCGCUGAGGGACGUCCUAGGGUAAAACCGGUGACUGGGGCUAAGUCGUAACAAGGUAA
rnacentral:rRNA from 1 species